rnacentral:lncRNA from 1 species
UAUGAAAAAAAAAAUAUUAAUCACUUAAAAAUCCACUACUAGAAAUAUAAACCAACUAAAAUAAGUGAAAAGUUCAUUUAAUUGGUCAUAGAUAAGUAAUGGUAAUUAAACUUAAAUCGCGUGAAACUUUCCAAAAACAAGAGCAACAAAAUGUUUGUGCAUUUUGAUUUAUGCAAGAAUUAUUUCUCAACUAUAUAUAUGUUCAU